CCUACGGGAGGCAGCAGUGAGGAAUAUUGGUCAAUGGACGAGAGUCUGAACCAGCCAAGUAGCGUGAAGGAUGACUGCCCUAUGGGUUGUAAACUUCUUUUAUAUGGGAAUAAAACGUUCCACGUGUGGGAUUUUGUAUGUACCAUAUGAAUAAGGAUCGGCUAACUCCGUGCCAGCAGCCGCGGUAAUAAGGAGGAUCCGAGCGUUAUCCGGAUUUAUUGGGUUUAAAGGGAGCGUAGGUGGAUUGUUAAGUAAGUUGUGAAAGUUUGCGGCUCAACCGUAAAAUUGCAGUUGAAACUGGCAGUCUUGAGUACAGUAGAGGUGGGCGGAAUUCGUGGUGUAGCGGUGAAAUGCUUAGAUAUCACGAAGAACUCCGAUUGCGAAGGCAGUUCACUGGACUGCAACUGACACUGAGGCUCGAAAGUGUGGGUAUCAAACAGGAUUAGAUACCCGAGUAGUC
rnacentral:rRNA from 1 species